GUAGGGAAUAUUGGUCAAUGGACGGAAGUCUGAACCAGCCAUUCCGCGUGCAGGAAGAAGAUUCUAUGGAUUGUAAACUGCUUUUAGCAGAGAAGAAACGCCUUCAUUGAUGAGGGUUUGACGGUAUCUGCGGAAUAAGCACCGGCUAACUCCGUGCCAGCAGCCGCGGUAAUACGGGGGGUGCAAGCGUUAUCCGGAAUCACUGGGUUUAAAGGGUGCGUAGGCGGGAAAUUAAGUCAGUGGUGAAAGUCUGUUGCUUAACGAUAGAAUUGCCGUUGAUACUGAUUUUCUUGAAUUGGGUUGAGGUUAGCGGAAUGUGACAUGUAGCGGUGAAAUGCAUAGAUAUGUCAUGGAACACCAAUUGCGAAGGCAGCUAGCUGGGCCUUGAUUGACGCUGAGGCACGAAAGCGUGGGUAGCGAACAGGAUUAGAAACCCUAGUAGUCC
rnacentral:rRNA from 1 species